rnacentral:rRNA from 1 species
AUUGAACGCUGGCGGCAUGCCUUACACAUGCAAGUCGAACGGUAGAGGAGCAAUCCUCGAGAGUGGCGAACGGGUGAGUAAUGCAUCGGAACGUGCCCAAUAGUGGGGGAUAGCCCGGCGAAAGCCGGAUUAAUACCGCAUGAGACCUGAGGGUGAAAGCGGGGGACUCGCAAGAGCCUCGCGCUAUUGGAGCGGCCGAUGUCAGAUUAGGUAGUUGGUGGGUAAAAGCCUACCAAGCCGACGAUCUGUAGCUGGUCUGAGAGGACGACCAGCCACACUGGGACUGAGACACGGCCCAGACUCCUACGGGAGGCAGCAGUGGGGAAUUUUGGACAAUGGGCGAAAGCCUGAUCCAGCCAUGCCGCGUGCGGGAAGAAGGCCUCGG